rnacentral:rRNA from 1 species
UACGUAGGGGUCGAGCGUUGUCCGGAUUCAUUGGGCGUAAAGCGCUUUAAGGCGGUUCGCUAAGUCGCGUGUGAAACCUCCAGGCUCAACCUGGAGACGCCACGCGAUACUGGCGUGACUAGAGUUCGGUAGGGGAUCACGGAAUUCCUGGUGUAGCGGUGAAAUGCGCAGAUAUCAGGAGGAACACCGGUGGCGAAGGCGGGUCUCUGGGCCGACAUUGACGCUGAGGAGCGAAAGCGUGGGGAGCGAACAGG